CCCUUAGAUGUCCGGGGCUGCACGCGCGCUACACUGAAGGAAUCAGCGUGCUAAAACCAUUGUCGAAAGGCAUUGGUAAACCCAUUAAAAUCCUACGUGAUUGGGAUCGGGAAUUGCAAUUAUUUCCCUUGAACGAGGAAUUCCCAGUAAGUGUGGGUCAUAAGCUCGCGUUGAUUACGUCCCUGCCCUUUGUACACACCGCCCGUCGCUGCCCGGGACUGAGCCGUUUCGAGAAAAGCGGGGACUGCUGCUGUCGGGGCUUUCGGGCCUUGGCUUCGGUGGAAACCGCUUUAAUCGCAGUGGCUUGCACCGGGCAAAANUCGUAACA
rnacentral:rRNA from 1 species